rnacentral:rRNA from 1 species
GUCCACGCCGUAAACGAUGUCUACUAGCCGUUGGGGGACUUGAUCUUUUAGUGGCGCAGCUAACGCGAUAAGUAGACCGCCUGGGGAGUACGGCCGCAAGGUUAAAACUCAAAUGAAUUGACGGGGGCCCGCACAAGCGGUGGAGCAUGUGGUUUAAUUCGAAGCAACGCGAAGAACCUUACCAACUCUUGACAUCCAGAGAACUUAGCAGAGAUGCUUUGGUGCCUUCGGGAACUCUGAGACAGGUGCUGCAUGGCU